ACAACCAGGAUGUUGGCUUAGAAGCAGCCACCAUUGAAAGAGUGCGUAAUAGCUCACUGGUCGAGUGACCCCGCGCCGAAAAUGUACCGGGGCUAAACAUAUUACCGAAACUGUGGAUGAACCUCUUCGGAGGUUCGUGGUAGGAGAGCGUUCUAAGGGCGGUGAAGUCAGACCGGAAGGACUGGUGGAGCGCUUAGAAGUGAGAAUGCCGGUAUGAGUAGCGAAAGAAGGGUGAGAAUCCCUUCCACCGAAUAUCUAAGGUUUCCUGAGGAAGGCUCGUCCGCUCAGGGUUAGUCGGGACCUAAGCCGAGGCCGAUAGGCGUAGGCGAUGGACAACAGGUAGAGAUUCCUGUACCAGUG
rnacentral:rRNA from 1 species